rfam:Salmo salar isolate Sally breed double haploid chromosome ssa05, whole genome shotgun sequence.
UGAACUCACUAUUGUAAGUCGCUCUGGAUAAGAGCGUCUGCUAAAUGACUCAAA